GUCGAUGAGACCGCACCGCGAAUCUCCCGAGAACAGUCGCUUCCACGGCCUCGGAGCGGGCGAGUUGUUGAUCCCCUUGGAAAAAAGGAAAACACGCUCUCUUGUUGCGGCGACGAGUGUAAUGGCCACCGUGGGCCUAGGAUAGUAAAGGAGGUGGUUGGGAUUCUUUGAUCAAAACGCUGGCAAUCAACAAACGACUUAUUAGCUAGUUAAGAUCAGUGAAUUUAAUUCGUGUGUGUCGAACUGCCGCUUUUUCAUUUUGAUCAGUGGCUUUUGUCCGGUGAAGAGUGCGUGUACAUCAAGUAGUGCAUCAGUGUACUUAAUGUGUGCCAGCCAUUGUCGAGCGUGCAUCGUAGUGCCGGUCAUCUAAUCAUCGACCACACUGGAUAAUAUUGCUUAUUCGUUUCGUCUAUUGGAUUCUACCUUUUUAAUACACAACGCGUCAACGGUCCGAGGCAAGGAAUAAUUCGGAACAACGACUUUCCUCACUUCCAUGAAAACGGCCUCCUAUUAUUAGGUUACCGUUGAAUACCAGACGACCGCGAUAAGCAAUCCUUAGAAUCAAGAAACAAAAAUCCGAAGAAUCCUUAGAAUCCUUAGAAAACAACCAGGUUUCAAUCUGUCGCUUCUUCUCUGUCAGCUUACCCGUCGAAAUUACGUUUUCGAGUCACUUCACGGAACGAGAUUUGCCUAUGCAUCAAGGGAGGGAGAGAAGUUCACCCUCUAUCGACGGAAUUUUUGCAAUACACUUUUGAAUAGCCGCCACUGCUUGUGCUCGACCGAGCGCUCGCUCCGAGCUUUUCAACGGGAUACACACAAACCUGUACACAUGCACUCGGGUAAAGAGACAAAUCGUGGCUUAGGGCGUGAGAAAGAUGGAGUGUAAAGAGUGAGGAGUGGGAUAUGGUUGAGAUGGAGAGGGAAUGUACAGAGUGAUAACUAUUCUCUCGCUGAAACUGCGCGUUACCUUGUUGCCUGGUAGGAAGAAAAGCUAUUCUGGUGCAAAUUGAACGGUACCGUGGAGUAUAUAAUUUGCACGUGACAAAUUUGUUACCAUACCUUUCCCGUGACUUUAAUUAACCAAUUGUGCUCUCAUAUUAAAAUCAUUUAACUUUUUUUUUUUUUUUUUAUUGAUUUUAAAGUAUAAUUUUAUAUUAUUU